rnacentral:rRNA from 1 species
GAUGAACGCUGGCGGCGUGCCUAAUACAUGCAAGUCGAGCGAACAGACGAGGAGCUUGCUCCUCUGACGUUAGCGGCGGACGGGUGAGUAACACGUGGAUAACCUACCUAUAAGACUGGGAUAACUUCGGGAAACCGGAGCUAAUACCGGAUAAUAUAUUGAACCGCAUGGUUCAAUAGUGAAAGACGGUUUUGCUGUCACUUAUAGAUGGAUCCGCGCCGCAUUAGCUAGUUGGUAAGGUAACGGCUUACCAAGGCGACGAUGCGUAGCCGACCUGAGAGGGUGAUCGGCCACACUGGAACUGAGACACGGUCCAGACUCCUAAGGGGGGCAGCAGUAGGGAAUCUUCCGCAAUGGGCGAAAGCCUGACGGAGCAACGCCGCGUGAGUGAUGAAGGUCUUCGGAUCGUAAAACUCUGUUAUUAGGGAAGAACAAAUGUGUAAGUAACUAUGCACGUCUUGACGGUACCUAAUCAGAAAGCCACGGCUAACUACGUG